rnacentral:rRNA from 1 species
AUUGAACGCUGGCGGCAUGCCUUACACAUGCAAGUCGAACGGUAACAGGUCUUCGGAUGCUGACGAGUGGCGAACGGGUGAGUAAUACAUCGGAACGUGCCUAGUAGUGGGGGAUAACUACUCGAAAGAGUGGCUAAUACCGCAUGAGAUCUACGGAUGAAAGCAGGGGAUCGCAAGACCUUGUGCUACUAGAGCGGCUGAUGGCAGAUUAGGUAGUUGGUGGGAUAAAGGCUUACCGAGCCGACGAUCUGUAGCUGGUCUGAGAGGACGAUCAGCCACACUGGGACUGAGACACGGCCCAGACUCCUACGGGAGGCAGCAGUGGGGAAUUUUGGACAAUGGGCGCAAGCCUGAUCCAGCAAUGCCGCGUGCAGGAUGAGGGCCUUCGGGUUGUAAACUGCUUUUGUACGGAACGAAACGGUCCGGGUUAAUACCCUGGGCUAAUGACGGUACCGUAAGAAUAAGCACCGGCUAACUACGUGCCAGCAGCCGCGGUAAGAC